ACUACUCAGUCAUUAAAAUUCUGCAUUAACAUGGUGAAGACUGUUACUACCAUCUUGCCUAUAUAAACCCAUGUCUUGCUUUGGGAAAAGACACACAAAAAGAAAAUAGAAUCAAUCACUCUUUUCAUAUUGUGAACUUCUUAUAUUCGGGUUUUUAUACCUAUUCUGGAGUACAAUUGAGAGUUCUAGAAAAACCAUUCGUGAUUGCUGCAUAAGUGGUUUACGAUCGUUGUAUCCUGGGAGUGAUUGUCCACGGAGGUCACAGCAAUUAUUGACGGGCAAUUUCACUUUAGGACAUCGUGCUGUCACGAGACUCGAUCGAUAAGUUUUAUAUUUCUGCAUUAUAUUGUUCUGAUCACUGCUGCAACUAAUUAUUUUUCCAACACGGAGUGCAGGUGUUAUUUUAUAUAUUCUACUCGGUGGUAUGCCUUCAUUUUGGGCUGGUAAGACUAAUUAACUAGUGUAACAUCUUCUUCUAUAAUUCGCUUGGUAAACGCUAAUUCUUUUGCUGCAGAAAUUGAGAAGGGGAUAUUUGACACUGCACUGAAAGCGGAAGUUGACUUUGGUCACCACAUGUGGCCCUCCAUUAUCCAUAUCUAAUAGUGCCAAAUACAUUGCCCUUCGGCACAUAAUUCAGUGGUGUAAAGGACAGGAGUGAGGUAGUCUCAACCUUACUGACAACCGCAGUAAAAGGGUUUGAUUUUUGAGAUAUGGAAUUGGACUCCUUGUAGACACCAGUGUACGGGCAAGUUCUUAUUCCCUGGCCUGUUGGGACACAUCCCACAAUUUACCUUUCUCACGGUGCUCCAAAGGCAGAGCGGUGGGAGCCCUCAAUGUUGGGUUUCAACCUUUUUUAAAUAUGUUGUUCAAAAAUCAAAAGAUGCUGACAGAGGAUCCAAAGAAGAGAAUUACUUCAGCAGAAGUACUAGGUAAUUUACCAUUAAAUCAUCAUAUUACAAGGCACUUCUUUUGCAUAUGAUCUAUUUUAAUUUUUCAACCUCUUAAUGUUGGACUGUGUGGAGC
rnacentral:lncRNA from 1 species